CAUCAGGUGUAGGAGAUUCAGAUUUUGUAUCCUCUGAAUCAUGCGUGGAACACAAGGUCCUUUGAUUAUUGCUUCUCACUACAGAUCAUAGUUGGUUUCAGCAGCCUUUGGCGUAAUGUUGCCAGGUAUCUGAGUCCAUUGUCAGCUGCUCCUUUGACAGGGUAGUUGGCUUUGGACUUUAUGAACGGGGUUUUCCAUCGAUAUGAUUUGAGCAUUUUGUCUGCACUGGAUAUUUGUGUACGCAUACAUACUCCUUAUGCUUGAACUACAAAUACGCAGAGUGCCUACUGAGGUUACAGAACUGGAUAGAAGUUCAUUAUGAUAGUUCAUACAGAGAGUUCAUUAUGAGAGUUCAUACAGAGAGCAUCAGGUACUUGUUUUUGCUUAAUAUUACUACCGAACUGUUCACACGGAGUGUAGUUUAGAAAUUUGAUAUCCCAUAUUUGUUCUGUUGUGAAGAUGGUGUUUGCUAUUUCUUGGUACAAAAAAAUUUCCUCAACUAAUCUUUCAGUACAAGGAGAGUAGGUGACACACUGACACUUCAGAAUAUUGACAUCGUUACUGAAGUUUGGUAGUGCUGUUUUCAUGUUUUUUUUAGAGUCAAUUACACUAGUGGUGCUACAACUUGGCAUAAACGAUCACUUUGGUGCUAGAAGUUGCGGGGUACAUUGAAGUGGUGCAAAAACUUGACAUUGGCAUGCAAAUACAAUGCUUAUCUCGUUUGUAUACGUAGUCAUUGUUGACUAGGCAUAUGGGGCCUGCUGUCAGCCACUAGACCAGAGAGAAGGGGCUUAUGGCCUGAUUUUUUUGAAAAACACCCUCGAGAUAAAAAUUUCACAAAAGAGCCCCUGUUGACAUUGUAGAGGUGGCCUUUUUCUCACCGACCAGUGGGUCCCGCCUGUCAUCAGAGAUUGAAAAUUAAACUAAAUUAAAACUAAGGAUGGCAGGUAUCGAACCCUAGAACAAAUCUGUUAAACCAAUACAGCUAACCAACACACCUUUACGUUGGCUUGUUUAGCACGGGUAACAAGCUUGUAUAUAUAUUAACUUUUUUUUUGAGGGGGUAUAUAUAUUAACUUGGCUGCAUGCGGAGCUUAUAUGGGCCGCAGAUAGUUCGGCCCAUUAUGCACCUGUUCUUUUUUUAAAAAUAUUUGUAAAAUGUAAUUAAUAAAAAUUAUAUGUAUGAUACACAGACGUGGGAGAGGUAGCAUUUAAAUAUACAUCCGUGUAUGAUAUAAAAAGUAUUUAGUUAAUACAGACAUUUAAUAAAAAUUAAAAUGUUUAAUGAAUACAUAAUAUUACACAAUCGAGUCUUAUAUUUAAAAUAUACAAUUUUUUAAUAUAAUUAUUGAAAAAUGUUGAAUAACUAAAAUAAUAUUUUGAAAUUGUAAUUUAUCUUUUUAUUAUAAAUUAUGCAAACAUUUAUAUAAUUAGUAAAUUAUUAUUAUGAGUAUUUUAACUUAAUAGGUGAACAAUGUUUUAAAAUAAUUUAUUAUUUUUAUUACUGAGAUUAUAAUUUGGAAUUUUAAGGCAAAUAUAAUUUAGAUACUUUCUACAGUUAUUUUUAACUAAUAGGUGCCAACUGGGCCGGAAGAUCUGCAGCCCAUUUAACCUCCUCCAGCACCGAGGUCAAAUACAUAAAAUGUUGUUAUCCGGUUUGUGCCGAUAGAACAUUAUGUUUGGAGUGGUUUGCCGGCUCCAGUUCCUGGUUGAGGUGUUGUGUUCGAGACUUGGCGCUGCAAUUGUCUUUUAGUUUUCGCCUCUUAGGUUACAGGCGGACCCACUUCUCAUAUUGAGUUUACAAAAUUUCCACGUCAAUUGGUAUUUUUUUAAAGAAAAUAAUAUUUCAAGGAUGUUUUUGAAAAAAUCAGCCCACACGUCCCUUUUCUCUGGUCAAGUGUUCUCCCAGUAUUUGAAAAAAGAACUUCAGCCUCUCUCUGAACUAGGAACCGAUGGAUAGUUAUCAACAAAAAUAUGGACUAUAGUACAGAUUAAAGAAUUGAUGGAAGAACCAGUUGCUGGUUCCAGCUCAUGACAAAUCAUAUAUAUCAAGUUUCCUCGUUUAGCUACAGAAUACUGAUAGGGAAAUGCAUAUGUACAGUAACUUUUUUUAGACAAAAUAUAGUAACUACAAAGUAGACGAGUCUUUUCCUUGCCAACCCAUCUCUCUCCAUUGUUCAGAUAUUAUUCCCAGAAGCUCAGUUCCAGGAAAGGAAGCACACCAUAGGGCCUUCAGUUCGUCCUGAUAGAGUAAAAAAUAAGAUGACACCUAAUUAAUUAGAUCCAAUUUAUGAAGUGACAUCUUGUAUCAAAGCUUGCAAAAAAUAGCACAUCAACUUGAUUAAGAAAAAGAGUCAAUUACAUUGUUGGUGCUACAACUUGGCAUAAACGGUCACUUUGGUGCUAGAAGUUGUGGCGUACAUCGAAGUGGUGCAAAAACUUGGCAUUGACGUGCAAAUACGGUGUUUAUCUCGUUUAUAUACGGAGUCGGUGCUGACCAGACGCAUGGGGCCAGCUGUCAGCGACUAGACCAGAGAAAAGGGACGUGUGGGCUGAUUUUUUCAAAAACACCCUCGAAAUAUUAUUUUCUUUUAAAAAAUACCAAUUGACAUGGAAAUUUUGUAACCUCAAUAUGAGAAGUGGGUCCGCCUGUAACGUAAGAGGCGAAAACUAAAAGACAAUUGCACGUCAAUGCCAAGUUUUUGCACCACUUCGAUGUACGCCACAACUUCUAGCACCAAAGUGACCGUUUAUGCCAAGUUGUAGCACCAAUAGUGUAAUUGACUCUUUUUUUUAAUCAAGUUGGUGUGCUAUUUUUUGCAAGCUUUGAUACAAGAUGCCACUUCAUAAAUUGGAUCUAAUUAAUUAGGUAUCAUCUUAUUUUUUGCCCUAUGGUGUGCUUCCUUUCCUGGAACUGAGCUUCUGGUUAUAAUAUCUGAAUAAUGGAGAGAGAUGGAUUGGCAAGGAAAAGACUCGUCUACUUUGCAGUUACUAUAUUUUGUCUAAAAAAAGUUAUUGUACAUAUGCAUUUCCCUAUCAGUAUUUUGUAGCUAA